rnacentral:rRNA from 1 species
GAUGAACGCUAGCUACAGGCUUAACACAUGCAAGUCGAGGGGAAACGAUAGAGAAAGCUUGCUUUUUCUAGGCGUCGACCGGCGCACGGGUGAGUAACGCGUAUCCAACCUGCCCAUCACUUGGGGAUAACCUUGCGAAAGUAAGACUAAUACCCAAUGACGUCUCUAGAAGACAUCUGAAAGGGAUUAAAGAUUUAUCGGUGAUGGAUGGGGAUGCGUCUGAUUAGCUUGUUGGAGGGGUAACGGCACACCAAGGCGACGAUCAGUAGGGGUUCUGAGAGGAAGGUCCCCCACAUUGGAACUGAGACACGGUCCAAACUCCUACGGGAGGCAGCAGUGAGGAAUAUUGGUCAAUGGACGAGAGUCUGAACCAGCCAAGUAGCGUGCAGGAUGACGGCCCUAUGGGUUGUAAACUGCUUUUAUAAGGGAAUAAAGUGAGAGUCGUGACUCUUUUUGCAUGUACCUUAUGAAUAAGGACCGGCUAAUUCCGUGCCAGCCGCCGCCGUAA